AAAAAAAGGAGGAACAAAACAUGGGUAACUACAGAGAAGCUGGGAAAGAAGGCCAACAAGGUAGUAAUCUGCGGAGCUGGCUCAGCGCAGCCACCAUUAGGGGGCCACCAUUGCGCAUGCUCACACAUCCACAGCCGCCACGCCCGUCAUUUUGUGUCACUGCGCAAGCCCAGAACAUCCUUGCGUUCCCUCAACGCCGGCAGAACAAGAUGGCGGCGGCCACGUGGGAUAAGGAAAGCAAGUAUCCGCUGUCGCGUGGUCACUGCCACCACCGACGGCACCCAGUCCCUCCCGAGGGGCCUCACACUCAGAUACAGCGCGCUGGCCUCCCACCAACCGAAAUGUUCACCUCCCAGCACGGGACCCGCCCGCCCCAGAGAAAGCCAAGCCUACGUGUCAGCGGCCAUUACUCUCCCCACUCACUAUCCCCCGGUCUCGGCCGGCGCGGCGCGUGUGUGGCGAGGAGCCGCCGUUCCGCAGGCCAUACGCAACUUACCUGGAAAUUAAAACGUAAAAAACCCGGACAGACGGCGAGCUCGGAGGAGCACAGAAAACAAGGACUGGUCUGCGCGGGAAGACGAUUGAUAAAGAGUACGUAGCAAGAACGUCCCGGAACGUUCCCCUUGCGCGUCCCGGCGUGCAUGCUGAUUGGCUGAGGCUAGCAGGGGCGGAGUGGCGGGGGAGAGGAAGGGACAGCAAAGUGAAGGGAGCAGUAUUCUCUGCGAAAUGGGGUGUUUCCGGAAAUGGGGUCGACUUUUGCACAGAUGGUGCACUCUAAACGUCAGCAUCCCCCCCACAACCGGCUGAGCUGCCUUGAUCCCUUCCACACAGGAACCUUCUCACUCUCAUACUACUUGCCGUCCCUGACAUCAUCCUCCCGUCCUUGCCAUCGUUUCCCCCGCUGGAUCUGAUGUCUUCCUCACCAUCGCAAUCGUCUUCCUCUAGGUCCCUGCCAUUCUCUGAUGUCAACCUCCUUCACCUUCUAGUUCUUUAACCUCGUACCCUUUAAAGGCCCGACAUUUUAUCCCCCACGUCACUGAUGUCAUCACCCUUCACAGUCCGUGAUGUCAGACCAUACGUUUUAAGGUUUGACCCUGACUCCUACUCUUUCUCCUCUGUGCUCAACAUCUAGCCGCCUGUCAUGCGACAUUCUUCCCUGGCGUCAUUCCUUCUCAUCUCUGACUUCAGCCCUCACCCUUGUCUGACUGCCCCCCGUGAAGCCAGCCCCUUAAUUUUCCCACCAAUAGACUGCCUGAGAUGGCUUUUACAAAACAGGAUGCUGGCCGGGUGCGGUGGCUCACGCCUGUAAUCCCAGCACUUUGGGAGGCUGAAACGGGCGGAUCACGAGGUCAGGAGUUCGAGACCAGCCUGGCGAACAUGGUGAAACCCCGUCUCUACUGAAAAUACAAAAAAAAAACCCCAAAAAACAACAACAAAAAAAACCAGCCAGGUGUGGUGGCACGCGCCUGUAGUCCCACCUACUCGGGAGGCUGAGGCGGGAAAAUCGCUGGAACCCGGCAGGUGGAGGUUGCAGAGAGCCGAGACCACACCAUUGCACUCCAGCCUCGGUGAAAACAAAACAAAACAAAACAGGAUGCUGCGAUCUUCAGAGGUUGUAAAUCCCAGUCCUUAGAGCAAUUUUUGCUCUCUUCGAAAGUAACUGAGCCCUUGCCGGGGGUGGUGGCGCACGCCUGUAAUUCCAGCACUUUGGGAGGCCGAGGCAGGCAGAUCACAAGGUCAGGAGUUUGAGACCACCCUGGCCAAUAUGGUGAAACCCUGUCUCUACUAAUACAAAAAAUAAUAAUAAUAAUAAUUAGCCGGGCGUGGUGGUAGGCACUUGUAGUCCCAGCUACUCGGGAGGCUGAGGCAGGAUAAUCACUUGAACCCGGGAGGCAGAGGUUGCAGUGAGCUGAGAUCAUGCCACUGCACUCCAGCUUGGGCAACAGAGCGAGACUC